rnacentral:rRNA from 1 species
GAUGAACGCUGGCGGCGUGCCUAAUACAUGCGAGUCGAGCGAACAGAUGAGGAGCUUGCUCCUCUGACGUUAGCGGCGGACGGGUGAGUAACACGUGGAUAACCUACCUAUAAGACUGGGAUAACUUCGGGAAACCGGAGCUAAUACCGGAUAAUAUAUUGAACCGCAUGGUUCAAUAGUGAAAGACGGUUUUGCUGUCACUUAUAGAUGGAUCCGCGCCGCAUUAGCUAGUUGGUAAGGUAACGGCUUACCAAGGCAACGAUGCGUAGCCGACCUGAGAGGGUGAUCGGCCACACUGGAACUGAGACGCGCUCCAGACUCCUACGGGAGGCAGCAGUAGGGAAUCUUCCGCAAUGGGCGAAAGCCUGACGGAGCAACGCCGCGUGAGUGAUGAAGGUCUUCGGAUCGUAAAACUCUGUUAUUAGGGAAGAACAAAUGUGUAAGUAACUAUGCACGUCUUGACGGUACCUAAUCAGAAAGCCACGGCUAACUACGUG